UACGGGGGGGGCAAGCGUUGUUCGGAAUUACUGGGCUUAAAGGGCGCGUAGGCGGGUGCUCAAGUCCGUGGUGAAAUCCUCCGGCUCAACCGGAGAACUGCCUCGGAUACUGGGCGUCUCGAGUGUGGUAGGGGUAUGCGGAACUAUCGGUGGAGCGGUGAAAUGCGUUGAUAUCGAUAGGAACUCCGGUGGCGAAGGCGGCAUACUGGACCACCACUGACGCUGAUGCGCGAAAGCCAGGGGAGCAAACGGG
rnacentral:rRNA from 1 species